rnacentral:rRNA from 1 species
UACGUAGGGGGGCUAGCGUUGUCCGGAAUCAUUGGGCGUAAAGCGCGUGUAGGCGGUUCGGUAAGUCCGCUGUGAAAGUCGGGGGGCUCAACCCUCGGAAGCCCGGUGGAUACUGUCGGGCUAGAGUGCGGAAGGACGGCGAGUGGAAUUCCUGGUGUAGCGGGUGAAAUGCGCAGAUAUCAGGAGGAACACCAAUUGCGAAGGCAGCUCGCUGGGACGUAACUGACGCUGAGACGCGAAAGCGUGGGGAGCAAACAGG